GGCGAAAGCCGGAUUAAUACCGCAUACGACCUGAGGGUGAAAGCGGGGGAUCUUCGGACCUCGCGCUAUUGGAGCGGCCGAUGGCAGAUUAGCUKGUUGGUGGGGUAAAGGCCUACCAAGGCGACGAUCUGUAGCUGGUCUGAGAGGACGACCAGCCACACUGGGACUGAGACACGGCCCAGACUCCUACGGGAGGCAGCAGUGGGGAAUUUUGGACAAUGGGCGCAAGCCUGAUCCAGCAAUGCCGCGUGUGUGAUGAAGGCCUUCGGGUUGUAAAGCACUUUUGGCGGGAACGAAAAGGACUGUGCCAAUACCACGGUUCGAUGACGGUACCCGCAGAAUAAGCACCGGCUAACUACGUGCCAGCAGCCGCGGUAAUACGUARGGUGCGAGCGUUAAUCGGAAUUACUGGGCGUAAAGAGUGCGCAGGCGGUUUUGCAAGACCGAUGUGAAAUCCCCGGGCUUAACCUGGGAACUGCAUUGGUGACUGCAAGGCUAGAGUGUGUCGGAGGGAGGUGGAACUCCGCAUGUAGCAGUGAAAUGCGUGGAUAUGCGGAAGAACACCGAUGGCGAA
rnacentral:rRNA from 1 species